rnacentral:rRNA from 1 species
AUUGAACGCUAGCGGGAUGCCUAACACAUGCAAGUCGAACGAGUGGCGGACGGGUGAGUAGUAUAUCGGAAAGUGCCCAAUAGCGGGUGAUAACUACUAGGAAGGGUGGCUACUACCGCAUACUAUUUGUUCUGCCAUUAUCGGAUUAGCUCGUUGGUGGGGUAAAGGCCCACCAAGGCAACGAGCCGUAGCUGGUUUGAGAGGACGAACAGCCAGACUGGGACUGAGAAACGGCCCAGACUCCUACGGUAGGCAGCAGUGGGGAAGUUUGGACAAGGGGGGAAAGCCGGAUCCAGCCAUCCCGCGUGUAUGAGAAGGCCUUCGGGUUGUAAAGCACUGUUGGCAGAGAAGCGUUAUCUGCAGAAUAAGCACAGGCUAACUACGUGCCAGCAGCCGCGGUAAUUC